rnacentral:rRNA from 1 species
CCUACGGGAGGCAGCAGUGAGGCAUAUUGGUCAAUGGACGAGAGUCUGAACCAGCCAAGUAGCGUGAAGGAUGACUGCCCUAUGGGUUGUAAACUUCUUUUAUAAAGGAAUAAAACGAGGCACGUGUGCCUUUUUGCAUGUACUUUAUGAAUAAGGAUCGGCUAACUCCGUGCCAGCAGCCGCGGUAAUACGGAGGAUCCGAGCGUUAUCCGGAUUUAUUGGGUUUAAAGGGAGCGUAGAUGGGUUGUUAAGUCAGUUGUGAAAGUUUGCGGCUCAACCGUAAAAUUGCAAUUGAUACUGGCAGUCGUGAGUACAGUUGAGGUAGGCGGAAUUCGUGGUGUAGCGGUGAAAUGCUUAGAUAUCACGAAGAACCCCGAUUGCGAAGGCAGCUUACUAAACUGUGACUGACAUUGAUGCUCGAAAGUGUGGGUAUCAAACAGGAUUAGAUACCCGAGUAGC